AUUGCUCUUGGUCAGGAGGUGAAGGUGUCAAGCCAGAAAAAAGGAAAAGUUGGCAGAAAAGCGGCUGAUGGCUUUCUAUCACAAAUCCCCACAGUUCCACUAAACAGAAGGUCAAGCAUAAGAUCACUUGCUGUUGCACUGGGUGUCAGUCGGACCACGCUACACAGGACGUUCCAGCUU
rnacentral:rRNA from 1 species